GGUGGGGUAGCGAAGCGGUCAAACGCAUCAGACUGUAAAUCUGACACCUAUUGGUUUCGAAGGUUCGAAUCCUUCCCCCACCACCA
rnacentral:tRNA from 1 species